rnacentral:rRNA from 1 species
CAUUCAAUAAGCGGAGGAAAAGAAACUAACAAGGAUUCCCCUAGUAACGGCGAGUGAACCGGGAAGAGCUCAAAUUUGAAAUCUGGCGUGCUCAGUGCGUCCGAGUUGUAAUCUAUAGAGUCGUUUUCCGUGCCGGACUGUGUCCAAGUCCCUUGGAACAGGGUAUCAAAGAGGGUGAUAAUCCCGUACUUGACACAAUGACCGGUGCUCUGUGAUACGUCUUCUACGAGUCGAGUUGUUUGGGAAUGCAGCUCAAAAUGGGUGGUGAGUUCCAUCUAAAGCUAAAUAUUGGCGAGAGACCGAUAGCGAACAAGUACCGUGAGGGAAAGAUGAAAAGCACUUUGGAAAGAGAGUUAAACAGUACGUGAAAUUGUUAAAAGGGAAACGAUUGAAGUCAGUCGUGACUGAGAGGCUCAGCCGGUUCUGCCGGUGUAUUCCCCUCAGUCGGGUCAACAUCAGUUUUGUUCGGUGGAUAAGGGCAGUUGGAAGGUGGCACCCUCGGGUGUGUUAUAGCCAGCUGUCGCAUACAUCGGAUGAGACUGAGGAAUGCAGCUCGCCUUUAUGGCCGGGGUUCGCCCACGUUCGAGCUUAGGAUGUUGACAUAAUGGCUUUAAACGACCCGUCUUGAAACACGGACC